AUUCUGCCAUUGGAGUACUUUACUAUUCUCUAUGUUGUCAGUUCUGAAGUUUUCUUCUAAUUAUCAAUUUGUCUAUGUCUUCUCAACAGCAAAAUUUUAAUCAUCACACCUUUAGAAUAUGUUUUUGAUAUUUAACGGGCCCUGAUCUCAUUACUAUCUUUUUUCCUUCAGAAUUUUCCUGAUGAUACACAUGCAAUAUUUCCAGAUGGACUUCAGAAACAGGGGAAGCCCCAGGUUGGCAUUCUUGGAUGGUGCCAGGACAGAAGUGGUGUCAAGGAACUGUGUUCAGAGGAAGGUAAAAUCAAAUGCCACCCGUGGUUGGAAGAAGUGCUGGAGAAUGAAUGGGCAUUCAUCGGAUAACCCAUGAGUUGGAGAGGAAGAUAUCCUGGUGAUGGGAAAUAUUUCAAUAAAAGGGGCCGGGGAAACACUAAAGUUA